rnacentral:rRNA from 1 species
CCAGCAGCAAGAGCAACGAUAAUCGAGAGACGUCCUNCACAUCCUCGGAGUAUUCCUGGUGAGAUAGUGUAGGCAUUUUAUCUCAUGAGCGAGAAGAUGACGUGCAGGCGGAUGCUUUCAUGCAACACGAGCCAGCGACGAGCGUGGACGAGACCCUCCACUAUCACCCGCUGCACGCAUGCUCGAGUUGCGCGGAAGACGCAGUGCCGCAACACCACCUAGUAGCUACGCAACUUCGCUCGACAUCUCCGCGAACGACACUCUCACACACUUGGCCUGAUNUGCGCUGCGGCUUCCGAGGAUGGGCGGGCUUAGAGGUAGGUCUCGCAGAAGCCCACAUAAAAUAUACACACGACGCGAUCACACGAGUCGAUGAGACUAUUGCAUAUAUUACUCCGAC